UGAGGAACAUGACUUUCGGCGGGGGAUAGCCGGCCCAACGGCCGGGUAAUACCGCGUACGACCUUUUGGGGACAUCCCCGAUUGGUGAAAGCAGCAAUGCGCCGAAAGAGUGCCUCGCGGCCUAUCAGCUAGUUGGUGGGGUAAUGGCUCACCAAGGCGACGACGGGUAGCUGGUCUGAGAGGAUGGCCAGCCACAUUGGGACUGAGACACGGCCAGACCUCCGUACGGGAGGCAG
rnacentral:rRNA from 1 species